GUCGCGAGAUUUGGAGCUCGCGGGAAAACUUGUUUGCGCGUCCGGAGCGGAGGGCGAGCGCGCGGGGAGUUCGAGUGUCGGACCCCGGGAACUCGGGCUGGCAUGAGCCUCUGGGUGGACAAAUACCGGCCCUGCUCCUUGGGACAGCUGGACUAUCACAAGGAGCAGGCGGCCCAGCUGCGCAACCUGGUGCAGUGUGGUGACUUUCCUCAUCUGUUAGUCUAUGGACCAUCAGGUGCUGGAAAAAAGACAAGAAUUAUGUGUAUUCUACGUGAACUUUAUGGUGUGGGAGUGGAAAAAUUGAGAAUUGAACAUCAGACCAUCACAACUCCAUCUAAAAAGAAAAUUGAAAUUAGCACUAUUGCAAGCAAUUACCACCUUGAAGUUAAUCCCAGUGAUGCUGGAAAUAGUGACCGGGUAGUAAUUCAGGAGAUGUUGAAAACAGUGGCACAAUCACAGCAACUUGAAACAAACUCUCAAAAAGAUUUUAAAGUCGUGUUAUUGACAGAAGUUGACAAACUCACUAAAGAUGCUCAGCAUGCCUUGCGCAGAACCAUGGAAAAGUAUAUGUCCACCUGCAGGUUGAUCUUGUGUUGCAAUUCUACAUCAAAAGUGAUACCGCCUAUUCGUAGUAGGUGCCUUGCAGUUCGUGUGCCUGCUCCCAGCAUUGAAGAUAUUUGCCAUGUGUUAUCUACUGUGUGCAAGAAGGAAGGUCUAAAUCUUCCUUCACAACUGGCUCAUAGACUUGCAGAGAAGUCCUGCAGAAAUCUCAGAAAAGCCCUGCUUAUGUGUGAAGCCUGCAGAGUGCAACAAUAUCCUUUCACUGCAGAUCAAGAAAUCCCUGAAACAGAUUGGGAGGUGUAUCUGAGGGAGACUGCCAAUGCUAUUGUCAGUCAGCAGACUCCACAGAGGCUCCUUGAAGUUCGUGGGAGACUCUAUGAGCUUCUAACUCAUUGUAUUCCUCCUGAAAUAAUAAUGAAGGGCCUUCUAUCAGAACUUUUACAUAAUUGUGAUGGACAACUGAAAGGGGAAGUGGCCCAGAUGGCAGCUUACUAUGAACAUCGUCUACAGCUGGGUAGCAAAGCCAUUUAUCACUUGGAAGCAUUUGUGGCCAAAUUUAUGGCACUUUAUAAGAAGUUCAUGGAGGAUGGAUUGGAAGGCAUGAUAUUCUGACAUCUCUCAGUAAUUCUUCCUAAUAUUUCUCAGUAUCAGCAUUUACAUUCAAUUUAUAUUGGAAGAGCUACAGAUUCUUGUGGGGACGACUUUUAAGCUGCCUGCCACUAGACCCAGGAGGAAACUCAAAAGAGCAGAGACGUGUAGCUUGUGAUCUUAUGAAGGUGGCCUCAUGAAAGGUCUCCCAAGGCAGACAGCUACAACUCUUGCUGACCAUAGGCUUUGAUGGAAGAAAUUUUCACAUACUGAGAUGGCAGCUGGAGAUGCAGACAUCACGGUCAUAUUCUAGGAUGGCAGCAGGACAAAGGAAACUUUAAAGAAGAUUUCCUAGAGAUAAAUAUGAAACCUCAGAUAGAGAAGAAUUGGUGAAAAGCAUUUCAGGUGGUUAGAAUAAGUUGCCAUAGUCCAGACAUGGAGGCAAGGAUGCUGGAAUAAUUCUGUAGAAGCAAUCCAACUUGUGCUUAGGAGCCCAUGGCCUGGAGGUGAUCGGGGGAGAAGAGUCUGGAAAGGUACACCAGAUCACG